rnacentral:lncRNA from 1 species
AUGAGAUCACCGUACUUUGUGGUAUUCUGACUUUCUCAUUGCAUCCUCCAGGACAGAAGCCACUCAGCUCGGCCCUGGCUCGUCGCCCACUUCAAGAAGCUCUGCCUUGAUUUCCUCAAGAUUGUGCAGGUUUCCAAGCUGGAUGAGUCCAAGCUAAUAAUGCAUCCUUUCUUCACCUGACUGUUGACUGAUCAACACGCUGUUCCUUCAGGCCAGGAAACAGCUUCCCCUCAGGUCCUCCCCAGCUGGCUCCGGAACAGCUCCCACCAUCCUCUUGGCAGAACAUCAAGUCCAUCUUCCAAUAAAUUGUUGUUCUAUUUGGUU